rnacentral:rRNA from 1 species
AUACGUAGGUGGCAAGCGUUGUCCGGAAUUAUUGGGCGUAAAGCGCAUGUAGGCGGUAAUUUAAGUCUGUCGUUAAACUGCGGGGCUCAGCCCCGUAUAGCGAUGGAAACUGGGUUACUUGAGUGCAGGAGAGGAAAGGGGAACUCCCAGUGUAGCGGUGAAAUGCGUAGAUAUUGGGAAGAACACCGGUGGCGAAGGCGCCUUUCGGGACUGUGUCUGACGCUGAGAUGCGAAAGCCAGGGUAGCGAACGGGAUUAGAUACCCCGGUAGUCCUGGCCGUAAACGAUGGGUACUAGGUGUGGGAGGUAUCGACCCCUUCCGUGCCGGAGUUAACGCAAUAAGUACCCCGCCUGGGGAGUACGGCCGCAAGGCUUAAACUCAAAUGAAUUGACGGGG